rnacentral:rRNA from 1 species
GACAGAGGCCUCAAGCGUUAAUCGGAAUCACUGGGCUUAAAGGGUGCGUAGGCGGCUCGGAAAGUGUCCUGUGAAAUCCCACGGCUCAACCGUGGAAUUGCGGGGCAAACUCCCGAGCUUGAGGAAGGUAGAGGCGGGUGGAACGAUAGGUGGAGCGGUGGAAUGCGUAGAGAUCUAUCGGAACGCCGAAGGUGAAGACAGCCCGCUGGGCCUUUCCUGACGCUCAGGCACGAAAGCGUGGGGAGCAAACCGG